CUCAGUAAAGUGUGUACUGGUAAUUAAAGGGCUGGAUCAUAAAAAUACUUCAACAUCAAGGCAGGUGAUUUUAUGUGUUAUUUAGCUGAUUUCAUGUAACGGAGAUCCUAUCCUUUCAUAUGCUUAACAUAAACUUUAUAUCAUGAACUUUUAUACAUAACACAAUUAAAGCUGCAUUUUUAUACUACAAAUAAGGGGCCACUAGAAGAAAAGAGACAAAGCAAGGGAAUUUUACAAAACAUUUAAAGUAUUAGUACAACAUUUCUCUUUCAUCACAGUUUAGGAGCAUAGAUUCUGUCGCUAUUUGUACUUUUUACAGACACCUGCACUGAGAGAUCGGAGCUUAGAAAUUGUGAUGAAAGCCCAGGUUAAAUUAUGCCUAUGGAACACAUCCAAACGUUUUAUGCAUUGACUGUUAUAUUUAAAUGAGAAGUAGGUGUCCAAAAGCUAAUCGUCUUAGCUUACGAAAUGAAUUUCUCUUGUUGUAAGCAUCAUAAAACAACCCAUUAAACAAUAAAAAAUAAAAAAAAACAAGGGAAUGUUAAUUUAGCUGUGCGCAAAUCUGCCUUGUCAUAUAUCACAAAAUCUUUAAACUACUAAAAUAAAAUUCUGAAAGAAAAUAUAAAAAAUGUAUAGGCACUCUUAUAUCUGUUAUGGUGCUGGUAUUAAGGUAGCCCACACAAAAAAUACCUUAACUAUAUAUAAUAUUAACGUAUGAUACCACACUCAAAAAUGAUUCA